AACUGAUACUACCUGCGGGAACCUGCGGAGGGAUCAUUAACGUGCCCUUCGGUGCGGUCCGGCCCCGAGAGAUCGGGGAUCGGUCGCCGCACCGGAACCGGCCCCACCCGUGUUUACCUUGACCACGUUGCCUUGGCGGGCCCCGUCCGGCUUAACCGCCAGACCGCCGGGAAGCCUAGCGGCCCCUGGCCAGUGCCCGCCGAUGGCCUUAAUUGAACUCUGAACUGUAGUGAUUGAAUG
rnacentral:misc_RNA from 1 species